AGCAGGGGAAGGAAGCACACACGUGGGGCUUCGUGGGCUGGAACUGCAUGACCUCGGCAAGUCACUUCCCUCCCAGAGCCACUCUUUCCCAGGUUAGCUGGAGACAGCCACAACCUACAGGAUGGCAAGUGCACUGGCAGGAAUGGUGGUCUUCUGCCCUGACUUCUGGCCGUUCUCCGACAGCUGAAUAUUGAAUAUGGGACAAAUUGGCUCGCUGUGAGCCUGCUCCAGUGGGAGAGGGAAGGUGGAAACUUCAGCAGAUGGAGAAGGAGAGGUGGGAACUCCAGGAAGAAGAGACAGUUUUCUGAUGGUAGAGUGCUUCCUUUUUGUUUUGUGUGCUCUAAAAUGAGGUAGGUGGCCAUGGGAUAGUUGAAUGUUUUUUUUUUUUUUUGGCACUGAGAUGUUCUCAGCCUUGAAUCCCAUGGCCACCGUGAGCUGAGUUGUUGGAGUUCGGGUGGUCCAGGAGUGGCUCUUUGUACGAUAUCAAUGAGAUCUCUGGCCACUGUUCACCCACGGGCCCCUCAUCAGUUGUUCCAGUAGGGAUCGCUCCCUAACGUUUAGCAUUAAGUACUUUUUAAUAAAUCUUUCAAUUUGAAGAGGGAAAAAAUGGUGGGGAAUAGUAUUGUCCUGUGAUAAUUUUUUUCCUCAGGUCCACCAGGUUCCCUGAGUAGAAGGUCAGGGCCCCGGCCACCAUGGAAUAGAGAAUGACAUGGAGGUUCCAUACGUCCAUCACAGGGCACUGAUACACCUGGCCCAGGGAGAGUUCUGGGGCAGGAAUUGUGGCUUUCUGCCCUGACUUCUGACUCUCCUUGGGCAGCCAAAACUUAAAAGUGUGAACAGCCGGCUCCCUUUGAGCUGUCUUUGGUUCCACAAGGAAGAUGGACUUUGUCGGAUGGGGAAGAGCAGGAGGGACACCCAGAAGGAAGGAACUGUGCUUAAAUGACGGAGCCCUUCCUCCUCUGCACUUUUCCUGUACCCCAGGAUUACGUAGGUGGCCAUGGGAUAAUCAGAUACUUAUUUUUUGUAGGGUGGGGGAAAUACUGAUUCCGAGAUGUGUGCUGCCUGGCAUCCCAUGGCCACCAUGACCAGGGUUGUAGGGGGCCCAGGUGCCCAGGGUCUCUGGUGUCAGCAGCGUCUCCUGGCCAGCAAUUGACCCAGGGGUCCCACAUCAG
rnacentral:lncRNA from 1 species